UUUUUCAGAAAACUGGAACAAGAAACACGGUUAAUUUAUUACUAAGAGCAAAAUCAGAAUUGUCAAGUCUUUUAAGCAGAUCUGGUUCUGGAAUGAAAAUUGAAAAAUCACAAUAUGAAUCAAGUGUCAAAAGUUUAUCUGAAAGACAAAAAAGUGUUGUGAAAAAGAGGGAGCUCCCUCCAUUUGUGCAAGUAGAAGUGCUUCAUUCAGGACAAUUGUUUGUAAGUGUAGUUAUAUUUACAAUAAAUAAAAAAAGAUGUUUUGUGCAUACAAAAUAUAAAAAGAACUUAAAACGGAAACUGCGCUAUAUCUGACUAUGUGGCACCUAAAAAUAUCACAGUGCAAAUACAAUAUUUUACAUGCAACUUUGAUCAGAGAGAAGAAAAAUAUACAAAAGAGACAUUCAAACUGACAGAUCGAAAAUGACUAUUCGAUCUAUAGCUGACUAUUCGGUAUCAGCUUUGCCGUACGGUGACCUAUAGUUGUUAAUGUCUGUGUCAUUUUGGUCUCUUGUGGACAGUUGUCUCAUUGGCAAUCAUACCACAUCUUCUUUUUUAUAUUGACAACGAUAAAGUUCGUUUAUUUAUGCAGUGCAUAUCUACAUAUAAACUGGUAAUGUUAUUCACUAAAAUAAUAAUCCAUAUACUAGUAUAAGGGUUUACGAUGUGAUAGCGAAAGUGAGUGAUUGUGGAAUACAUUUCAAUGAACAUGUUUACCCGUAUUUGACACAACCUUUAUCAACUUUUGAUCUUCAGUGCUGUACAGCUUUGUACCUUUUUUUCACUUUCGAUCUUUUAUAUCUGGGCGUCACCGGCGAGUCUUGUGUGGACGAGGCGCGUUUUUGGCGUAUUGAAUUUUAAACCUGAUGCUUUUUGUUAUCCAUUAAUCAUGUGUUUCUUUGUCUAAUACGUUCUCCUAUUUAUUUGUAUUGUAGUCCUGUAAUAUUAUGUUGUCAUUUCAAUGUUAUAUUUAACAUGCCAUUAAAGUGCGAGGUUUGGCAUGCCACAAAACAAGGUUCAACCCACCAUUUGUUUCUUUAAAAAUGUCCUGUACCAAGUCAGGAAUAUGGCCAUUGUUAUAUUAUAGUUCGUUUCUGUGUGUGUUACAUUUUAAUGUUGCGUCGUUUGUUUUCUCUUAUUUUUAGUGUAAAUUCACAUUGCGAUAAGACGUGUCACGGUACUUGUCUAUCCCAAAUUCAUGUAUUUGGUUUUGAUGUUAUAUUUGUUAUUUUCGUGGGAUUUUGUCUGAUGCUUGGUCCGUUUCUGUGUGUGUUACAUUGUAGUGUUGUGUCGUUGUUCUCCUCUUAUAUUUGGUGCGUUUCCCUCAGUUUUAGUUUGUUACCCCGAUUUUGUUUUUUGUCCAUGGAUUUAUGAGUUUGAACAGCGGUAUACUACUGUUGCCUUUAUUUAGCUAUACAUUAUAAUAGUUUUGUAAACGACAAAACCUUGUCCUUAUCAAGUCAUGGCCAAUCUCUUAUAAAUGUUUGAUAUGUUUUUUUCAAGUCCACAAUUCGUUUGUAGGGUUUGCUGUCUCUAUUGGAACCAUCACAAAGAGGACCAUCAGUAAGCUAAGUAAGUAAAAUCUUCUUAACUUUAUUGACUGGUAUGAAUGCCAAUGAGACAACUCUCCAUCCAAGUCACAAUAUGUUAAAGUAAACCAUUAUAAGUCAAAGUAAGGUCUUCAUAACGGAUCAUUGACUCACACUGAACAUCAAGCCAUAAAGGGCCUCAAACGGGAAAACCAACGGUCUAAUCUAUAUAAAAACGAGAAACAAGAAACACUUAUGAACUACAUCAACAAACUACAACCUACUGAAAAUCCGAUACCUAACUCAUUUGCCAAUUAAUGAUUUUGAAAUUACAUGAUCAGCCUUAGAAUUAUCGAUGUAAUAUUUUAAUUCUUAGUGUAUACCCCCCAAAUUCAGGAUUAGUAAACGACACUGUUGUAAUAUUAUUGUCAUGAUGAAGAUUAAUAUGAACAUUUCAUUCUAUGGUUGUUUUAAUAACUUUAUAACUUAAUAAAUUAUGUAAGUCAAUUUUGCUUAGCAAGACAUUGCUUUAAAGUGAUUUUGUAUAUGAUUCGUCUUUUAUUCAAGUAGAAUAGGUCAAGGGGGAAGCCAUAGGAAAGUUAUACCAUGUACGUGUUCAAAAGUGCACACGAAAGACUUAUUUAAGAUUGAUAUAUUGAUUAAAGGCUAAUGGCCGUUUACCAUAUUUUACAGGUAAGCGGAGAGUGUGAAGUCCUUGUGAUCUACAAAAAGUUCUUCAAUAAAAGUUGUGAUGAUGCGAUGAAAAGUUGGAUUAUUUUGAAGGUGAGAUAUAUAAGAUCAUAUAACAGAGACUAAUUCAGUUUGAUAAAUAACGCACUUACAAAUAAACAAGAACUAUCUUUAAAAAAGAUAUCCGACGUAUUUAAAUUUGAGUAUAUGUUUAAAACUAUCAUUCGAUAACCUUCAGAAGCACAAUGACUUAAAUCUCCAUCUGAAUGUAACUACAAGAAAUUCUGUUUACAUUCACCAAAACCCCGCGGAAAUCUCACAUGCGUAGGUGCGUUCUAAAAGUCAUGUACGUUUGUACAACAAAGUUUACAUUAAAAAUUAUAUAAUUGUCCCGAAUAAACAGCUGUCAUGGUUGCAAAGAGCUGGAGAAACAAUUAUUUUAAUAAAAAAAAAUCUUUGUAAGAUCUAGUUAAAAUAUUUAUAGUUUUUUACUUGCUUUCCAUCACGAUAUAAUUAACGAAACGUUUUAUCAAACACAACCAAAUCACCCACCAUGACAGCAUUUUGUCCAAUCACAGAAAGGAUUUUCGAGCAUGCGUAUUCUGUUGCCAUAGUUAAGCGUCCUUAAGUUCAAAGGGCACAAUCCUAAACUAUACCACCACGUCGGAAAAAAAAUUGUAUUUUGACCUGAGGCUAGAUUACAUUUAAUGUUUUUUUUUAUUUUAUAUUUCUGCAAUACUGACUUGGUACUGUUAAUGUAAAUUUGUUUAUACUAUAAGUUAAAUUUGUAGCAUUCUCAUCAAUAACGGCCUUUUGAAUGCGUAUUAUAACUAUAACGUUUUGUAUAAAUAGUUAACCACUUCAAUUGCAGGAAAAACCAUUCCCUCCACAACAGGAGCUAGUAGACAGGCUAGAUAUAUCCAUGCAAUGGGACGAAUUUAAACACGACCCUGUAAAAGAUUUCAUGUACAAUUUAACGAGAAUGAAAGAAAUUAAGCGAUGAAUUGUUUGAGGCGUGAUUGAUAUACUAACUUGUCUUUCAUUUCAUGUUUAACUUUUUUUAUAUAAAAAAAAAAUAAAGCA
rnacentral:lncRNA from 1 species